GACGGGUAGCCGGCCUGAGAGGGCGACCGGCCACACUGGGGACUGAGACACGGCCCAGACUCCUACGGGAGGCAGCAGUGGGGAAUAUUGCGCAAUGGGCGAAAGCCUGACGCAGCGACGCCGCGUGAGGGACGAAGGUCUUCGGAUUGUAAACCUCUUUCAGCAGGGACGAAGCGAAAGUGACUGUACCUGCAGAAGAAGCACCGGCUAACUACGUGCCAGCAGCCGCGGUAAUACGUAGGGUGCAAGCGUUGUCCGGAUUUAUUGGGCGUAAAGAGCUCGUAGGCGGUUUGUCGCGUCGGAUGUGAAAACCCAAUGGCUUAACCUUGGGCCUGCAUUCGAUACGGGCAAACUAGAGUGUGGUAGGGGAGACUGGAACUCCUGGUGUAGCGGUGGAAUGCGCAGAUAUCAGGAAGAACACCGAUGGCG
rnacentral:rRNA from 1 species